GGAGAAGUCCCAGGAGAGUGUGGGUCUCCUAGCUGUUAAUAGGGAUAAUGAGCCCCCGCACCUUUGUUCUGCAAGGUUCUGGAGUACAGUCUCCCUUCCUGGCUUCUCUUUGUGGCUCCUUCCCCAUGAUCCCCUCUGCCUUCAUUCCCACAAGAAGGGUAAUGCCCUCCCUCUUCAUCUCUCACUCUGGGAAUCCCCCUUCAAGGCUCAGCCCAGGCUCUUCCUCCUUUCCUGCAUGUGGCUUGAGCUUAUUCGGAUCCUCUGGGUGUUAGUGCUUUCCCCAAAAUGAGGGAUUUUCCCACUUUUCCUUUGGGUCAGUAGUUCUUGUUCCCUUUCUCCCCCAGGGGGAUGGGGGUGUCUUGCAGACAGCUUUGGGGUAGUUUUGUCUUCACUGUCCCCAGUGCUCGGCCAUGUGCCCGACCCUCAGGCCAGACCAGCAUUCACAAAUGCUUAUGGAGUGAACGCUUGAACAAACAAGGCAGGGCUGGCCAUCUGAUUCAGACUUGGGGUGCUUGGAAUUGCUAACAUUGGGAGAUGUGGCUGUCACCUCCAAGGAGACCCCGGUGCCCUUCUCAGCAGGAUCUCUGCAGGGAUGUGCUGCCGGACAACCAGCACAACCUAGCCUACCUGUGACUUGCAAUUUCCAAACCAGAUAUGAUAUACCAAUAGGAACAAGGAAUAAAACUGGAUAAAGGGGAUG